GUGAGCCGUGUGAUGGGAAACCUUCCCGCACGGUUCCCCUAU
rfam:Brassica napus, WGS project CCCW01000000 data, contig: 11399